UGGGGAAUUUUGGACGAAUUGGGCGAAAGCCUGAAUCCAGCAAUGCCGCGUGUGUGAAGAAGGCCUUCGGGUUGUAAAGCACUUUUGUCCGGAAAGAAAUCCUUGGCUCUAAUACAGUCGGGGGAUGACGGUACCGGAAGAAUAAGCACCGGCUAACUACGUGCCAGCAGCCGCGGUAAUACGUAGGGUGCAAGCGUUAAUCGGAAUUACUGGGCGUAAAGCGUGCGCAGGCGGUUUGCUAAGACCGAUGUGAAAUCCCCGGGCUCAACCUGGGAACUGCAUUGGUGACUGGCAGGCUAGAGUAUGGCAGAGGGGGGUAGAAUUCCACGUGUAGCGGUGAAAUGCGUAGAGAUGUGGAGGAAUACCGAUGGCGAAGGCAGCCCCCU
rnacentral:rRNA from 1 species